CUCCUGACCUUAGGUGAUCCGCCUGCUUCGGCCUGGGAUUACAGGUGUGAGCCACCACACCCAGCUAACCAACUGAAUUCUAAGCUGGCCUAGGAGAUUCUGGCUCCCUGGUGUUCACACCGCUAAUGCCCCGCUGUGAGUGAAUGUGAUACGGUACAGUACCUUUGAGCUAAUGAAAGGGGAUGUCACCCGAGUGGACCUGAACCAUCAGGCUUUAAAUGAAAGGGACAUGGCGGAGAGGCCCUCUCCUGCAGGCUUGGAGCAGGCAAGCGGCCAUGGUGUGACUUGCAAGGGGACCUCCAGAAGCCGAGAGUGGUCCCUGAUGGCAGCUCGAAAGAAAACAGGGACCUCAGUGCCCCAACGUAGGGACCUGAAUUCUGGCAACAACCAAAAGGGGCAUGAAGAGGAUACCAGACCCCAGCUGAGAACAUGGCUGGCUCACACCGUGAUUGCAGCCUUGUGAGGCCCUACGACAGAGGCCCCGGGCACACCAUGCCACAGUCUUCACCAACAUCAACAGUGUGGCAACGCAUAGGUGCUGCUUCAGGCCUUGGAAUUUAUGGUAAUCUGUCACACAGCAGUAGAGAACUGAUACAAGACCAGGCUUGGUGGCUCACACCUGUAAUCCCAGAACUUUUGGAGGCCAAGGAGGGAGGAUUGCUGGAGCCCAGGAAUUUGAGACCAGCAUGGGCAACUUACGGAGACGCAUCUCUACAAAAAUAAACAUUAGCUGGGUGUGGUGGUGCAUGUCUGUAGUCCCAGUUCUGGGGGAGGCUGAGGUGGGAAUCACUUGAGCCAGGGAAGUUGAGGCUGCAGUGAGCUGUGACUGUGCCACUGCACUCCAGUCUGGGUGAUGGGGCGAGACCCUAUCUCAAUUUAGAAAGAAAAAGAGGCUGGGCAUGAUGGCUCAUGCCUGUGAUCCCAGCACUUUGGGAGGCCGAGGCAGGCAGAUCACCUGAGGUCAGGAGUUCAAGACCGGACUGGCCAACAUAGUGAAACCCCAUCUGUACUAAAAAUACAAAUAUUAGCCAGACGUGGUGGUGGGCACCUAUAAUCCCAGCUACUCGGGAGGCCGAUGAAUGAGCAUUGCUUGAACCUGGGAGGCGGAGGUUACAGUGAGCCGAGAUCACGCCUUUGCACUCCAGCCUGGGUGACAAGAGCAAAACUCCAUCUCAAAAAAAAAAAAAAAAAAAAAAGGAAAAAGAAAAAAACCCUCAUACAAUGGCAAAAGUAACAGGCUGUCACUUCCGGAGGCAGCUUGUGAAGGCUGACGCUGUCUUGGUCAUGCUUCCUGGUGUGCUUUUUUGUUCUGCUGAAGACAGUUGCUACACUAUGAGCUGCCCGGCCGAGAGGCCUACUUUGAAAGGAACUGAAAGCAGCCUCUGGGCCAUAGCCUUGGAAGAACUGAGGUCCUUAUUCUAACAAGCCAUGAGAAACCGAAUCUUGUCAACAACCAGGGCACCGACGUGGAAGCAGACAGCAUCCAGGCCAGCCUUAAGGUGACCGCAGAGCAGCCACAGCUUGACCGCAGCGUUGCACCAGACAAAAGCCAUCUGAGUCUCGCCUGGGUGGCCUCUCCUACCUCAGAAGCCUCUAGGGGAGGAGCCUCCUGAGCUGUCUCAGGGCCUCGGAGUGCCACUGUGAAGGGGCGCCCACCCGGCCGACGUUCACCCAAAAUUCUUCAGGGUCCUAAAAGCCUCUGGAGUCCUUGCAGGCACUCCAGUCUGUUCAGUCCCAGGUGCGCUCGCUCAUCAGGGGAACUCGACCUACCCCAGGAGGCCUCACUGGCCAGCCGGUAAACCCCUUCCAGCUGGGGACGAAGUCCUGAUAAAGAGAUUCACUGCCUCUGGUCUGACUCCUCGCUGGAAGGGACCCUACACCAUGAUUCUGGUCACCACCACGGCAGUCAAAGUGGACGGACUAACUGCCUGGAUUCACCAUUCACACGUCAAGACUACCCCCCCCAUGCGAGAUAAGAAAUGGUUUCAUCCUCAACGGACCCCCUAAAGCUAAGACUUUCGCGCCAUCAUCCUAAUCUCUUUGAUUUCUGUAACCACCCCCUAAAAGGGACCCCCCUUAAUGCCCACUUAUUAUCAAUGGAUCAUCAUGGAGGGCUCAACGGGACAAUUUGUUAGUACUGUACUUGGGGCUGGAACCACCCUUGUCAACUUAACCCUAGAGUACAUUCCCAGAGAUCCCAUAACCUUCUCCCUAGACCUCUGCACUCUCUUAAGUGAGAGCCUAGAUGCAAAUACUAUAGGACAAAUGAAGACAAAAAGAUGGGGCGGGGAAAUGAGGUGAAAGCAAAGGAGAUGGGGUGGGGGAACGUAGUGGCCGAAAAACGGCUUCAGACAGUAGGGCUAUAUCUAUGCCCAGGGUCCACACCAGAUAAGAGGUGAAAUUCUCAUAGCACCAAAUACAGACAGACACUGGAAACGGGUCCCCAUAAUUAUACCCCUAUUAGUAGGACUUGGAAUAGCAGGAUCCGCCGCUAUAGGACUAUCUGCCUUAGUCACUGGGGACCAAAAUUUCCAAACUCUUUCACACCAAAUAGAUGCAGAUAUUACCCAUCUGGAAAAUUCCAUCACCAAAUUAGCUGAACAAGUAGACUCCUUGGCUGAAAUGGUAUUAUACAAUAGAAGGGAGUUAGACCUGUUGUUCUUGAAGGAAGGAAGACUGUGCACAACUCUCAGUGAGCAAUGUUGCUUCUAUGCAAAUAAUUCUGGAAUUAUCUGAGACAGCCUUGUGAUAGUUAGGCAGAACUUAGAAACAAGAAAACCCUUCAGAGAGGCCUCGGGAAAUUAGUACCAAAAACUGUUCUCUUGAUCCCCCUGGCUGACAUCCGUGCUCACUGGAUUAGCAGGACCCUUGGUGUUAGUGGUCCUAGGGUUAACAUUUAGACCAUGACUUUUAAACAUGCUCUGCAAAUUUAUCCAGGAAAGAAUAGAUUUGGUAAAACUAAUAGUUCUAAGAUCCAACUACAGGCUCCUGUGUGAAGAAGAAGACACCUAUUAAAGAUUUAAUACAUGUUAUAAGAACAGGGAGGAGUGUGAUAUAGCUGGCCUAGAGUUAGAACCUGUACAAUGCCAUUUUAUAAAGGACAAAGCUGUUUCCAUUCUCCUCACAAUGACUGCUAACCUUGGCUUCUGUAAACUGCUAAUUUACCUUGCAAAAUGCAAAGAGAGGUAAAGCUGCAUACCUCCUCUUAUCUGGAACUACCAGAAUUGCUGGCCUUUGUUUACAGAGUAAGCACCCCCAGAUAAUUCCAUCCUGGCGCCAAGUAAAUAAAAAUCUAUGGAUCCCACCCCUACCCAGACGACGUGUAAACGAAUGCUAAUCUCAGCAUCUGUGAACCCCUUAAAUGACAAUCAGAAUGUCAAAUAGUCCCCUGGCCCUCGAAAUGUCCGAAAUGCCCUCACCCUCAUCUCCGCCCAGAAGGUGAUUUGAAUCCACUGGCCCUCGGAAUGUCUGAAACCCCUCACCCCAUCCUCUCCCCUCACCCCCAAGGUGAUUUUAUGGGUAUAAAAAGGUCUUGUCACCCUUCUUUCUCUGCCACGGGUUGGAGAGACGUGAGUCCUCCAUGGUCGCUGGCAAUAAACCCUGCAA